AAAUGCGAGUUUUGAUAGAAUCCCUAUCGGGAAAUUUUUAGCUGUGGACUUUCUUUAGAUGACUCUUGUAUCAAAUAUUUUCCUGCUUCUUGGAACAAGGAACAUAGGAUGUCUUGAUGCCAACCAAGUGUCUUUGGAAAGAUUGUAAAAAGAUGUUAAGCAGGAGAAACCUAAAGUUGGAGGAUAAUACAUUUGUUUUCGCUACUAGUUUUGUAAAACAAAUGGUAAAUUGGUGAAAUGAAACAACACAUGACCUAUUACUUUAGAUCAAUUGUUUUCACAAGUGGAGAUUGAUUCCACAAUCUUCUGCUUCCCAGGCAGACACCCAUCCACAAAGCCAUGGGUGAUGGAUGAUAUUCAAAGCGGGCACAACUGUUUUGUAAAUUGGUAUCACUUUUAAAAACCCAAACAGGUAUAACAAAAAGGGCAUUUUUUAAAUUUUUUACAUAGUUAUGUUGCUUCUUUGCUUCAUUCGACAACAGAUAAUUGUUUAUUAAUUGAUUAAUGUUUUGUUUCAUUUAGUCCAACAUAGGUUAAUAACCAUACUAAAUUAGAUGGCUACGAGUAAAAUAAAAGAAAAUGAAGAAAUAGAGAAAUUAUAUAUAUUUUUUUAUCGUGGCGAAACCGGUUGCAAUAACAGCUGACAUUUCCCGUAUAUUUUCAAGACAUCUAGGGGAGAAAUAGCUAACUUAAUUUUUAUGGGUAUGUCAGCUGUCCCGUCAGCUGUUUCAUUUCGCGUGGCUUCGGACAGAGGAUGGCUGGAAAUUUUACCACCGAUUCCGUGUGUUUUGAGUUGCAUCUUGUGAAUUCAAUCAACGCAGAGUUGUUCAAGGAGGAACACGGCUUGGCUUUGCUAGCACGUUUUUCAUCUCCGUUAGUCUGAUAAACCCAUUUUAUUUCAAAGGUGGUACGUAAAAAGAGUAGGUCCUUAUAAUCUUUUUCUCUAUCUAAAUCUUUUAGAUUCUUGUAGGUGUCAUCAGGUGAUGUUAGAAUUUACUGUUUAUAGUUAGUUUUUUAAAUCAUGCUUUCAGGUCUUUAGGAUGUACCUGAUGUACUGUGGUGGCCGCAAAAUCAUUCAAUGACUUGGUUCAAUCCAGGAUUUGGUUUUUUCUAUGGUGGUUUACAGUUUUAAUUUGCAGAGAUCCUGGAGGCACCUGAUUUGUUUAAUUGGCGUUGGAGUCACUUGAUGACAGAAGAGAAUGCCCCUAAUGUUAUCUUGUCAGUGUAAAUAAAACAUAUCCAGUAUCAUUCUUGUGUUUGCUGAAUUAUUACCUCAUUCAAUGGAAACAAAGAAGUUAAAGAAGUGAUUGCACUUGAAGUCAAAUGGAACAAAGAAAACAAUUUAUUCACUGAUGUUUCACCGCCUGUGAAAUCUAUUGAAAUGAGUACUUGUGAGAGGGCUGGACUGAAAUUAUUUGUUUUCCCAACCUAUUUCACUGUAAGUUCAUCUUUGAUUUGCAUAAAUUGGAAUAAGGUGAAAUGAAAUAAACACGAAGA